GAUGAACGCUGGCGGCGUGCCUAAUACAUGCAAGUCGAGCGAACGGACGAGAAGCUUGCUUCUCUGAUGUUAGCGGCGGACGGGUGAGUAACACGUGGAUAACCUACCUAUAAGACUGGGAUAACUUCGGGAAACCGGAGCUAAUACCGGAUAAUAUUUUGAACCGCAUGGCUCAAAAGUGAAAGACGGUCUUGCUGUCACUUAUAGAUGGAUCCGCGCUGCAUUAGCUAGUUGGUAAGGUAACGGCUUACCAAGGCAACGAUGCAUAGCCGACCUGAGAGGGUGAUCGGCCACACUGGAACUGAGACACCGUCCAGACUCCUACGGGAGGCAGCAGUAGGGAAUCUUCCGCAAUGGGCGAAAGCCUGACGGAGCAACGCCGCGUGAGUGAUGAAGGUCUUCGGAUCGUAAAACUCUGUUAUUAGGGAAGAACAUAUGUGUAAGUAACUGUGCACAUCUUGACGGUACCUAAUCAGAAAGCCACGGCUAACUACGUGCCAGCAGCCGCGGUAAUACGUAUGUGGGAAGCGUUAUCCGAAUUAUUGGGCGUAAAGCGCGCGUACGCGGUUUUUUAGUCUGAUGUGAAAGCCCACGGCUCAACCGUGGAGGGUCAUUGGAAACUGGAAAACUUGAGUGCAGAAGAGGAAAGUGGAAUUCCAUGUGUAGCGGUGAAAUGCGCAGAGAUAUGGAGGAACACCAGUGGCGAAGGCGACUUUCUGGUCUGUAACUGACGCUGAUGUGCGAAAGCGUGGGGAUCAAACAGGAUUAGAUACCCUGGUAGUCCACGCCGUAAACGAUGAGUGCUAAGUGUUAGGGGGUUUCCGCCCCUUAGUGCUGCAGCUAACGCAUUAAGCACUCCGCCUGGGGAGUACGACCGCAAGGUUGAAACUCAAAGGAAUUGACGGGGACCCGCACAAGCGGUGGAGCAUGUGGUUUAAUUCGAAGCAACGCGAAGAACCUUACCAAAUCUUGACAUCCUUUGACAACUCUAGAGAUAGAGCCUUCCCCUUCGGGGGACAAAGUGACAGGUGGUGCAUGGUUGUCGUCAGCUCGUGUCGUGAGAUGUUGGGUUAAGUCCCGCAACGAGCGCAACCCUUAAGCUUAGUUGCCAUCAUUAAGUUGGGCACUCUAAGUUGACUGCCGGUGACAAACCGGAGGAAGGUGGGGAUGACGUCAAAUCAUCAUGCCCCUUAUGAUUUGGGCUACACACGUGCUACAAUGGACAAUACAAAGGGCAGCGAAACCGCGAGGUCAAGCAAAUCCCAUAAAGUUGUUCUCAGUUCGGAUUGUAGUCUGCAACUCGACUACAUGAAGCUGGAAUCGCUAGUAAUCGUAGAUCAGCAUGCUACGGUGAAUACGUUCCCGGGUCU
rnacentral:rRNA from 1 species